rnacentral:rRNA from 3 species
GACUCGUCACACUAUCAUUAACUGAAUCCAUAGGUUAAUGAGGCGAACCGGGGGAACUGAAACAUCUAAGUACCCCGAGGAAAAGAAAUCAACCGAGAUUCCCCCAGUAGCGGCGAGCGAACGGGGAGGAGCCCAGAGCCUGAAUCAGCAUGUGUGUUAGUGGAAGCGUCUGGAAAGGCGCGCGAUACAGGGUGACAGCCCCGUACACAAAAGCGCAUGUGCUGUGAGCUCGAUGAGUAGGGCGGGACACGUGGUAUCCUGUCUGAAUAUGGGGGGACCAUCCUCCAAGGCUAAAUACUCCUGACUGACCGAUAGUGAACCAGUACCGUGAGGGAAAGGCGAAAAGAACCCCGGCGAGGGGAGUGAAAAAGAACCUGAAACCGUGUACGUACAAGCAGUGGGAGCACCCUUUGGGGUGUGACUGCGUACCUUUUGUAUAAUGGGUCAGCGACUUAUAUUCUGUAGCAAGGUUAACCGAAUAGGGGAGCCGGAGGGAAACCGAGUCUUAAUUGGGCGUUAAGUUGCAGGGUAUAGACCCGAAACCCGGUGAUCUAGCCAUGGGCAGGUUGAAGGUUGGGUAACACUAACUGGAGGACCGAACCGACUAAUGUUGAAAAAUUAGCGGAUGACCUGUGGCUGGGGGUGAAAGGCCAAUCAAACCGGGAGAUAGCUGGUUCUCCCCGAAAGCUAUUUAGGUAGCGCCUCGUGAAUUCAUCUCCGGGGGUAGAGCACUGUUUCGGCUAGGGGGCCAUCCCGGCUUACCAACCCGAUGCAAACUGCGAAUACCGGAGAAUGUUAUCACGGGAGACACACGGCGGGUGCUAACGUCCGUCGUGAAGAGGGAAACAACCCAGACCGCCAGCUAAGGUCCCAAAGUCAUGGUUAAGUGGGAAACGAUGUGGGAAGGCCCAGACAGCCAGGAUGUUGGCUUAGAAGCAGCCAUCAUUUAAAGAAAGCGUAAUAGCUCACUGGUCGAGUCGGCCUGCGCGGAAGAUGUAACGGGGCUAAACCAU